AAGUCAUGUUGGCACAGAUAAAAGCUUCUAACUUCAUAUUUGAGAGGUUCAACUCCUUUCAUGACUUU
rnacentral:tRNA from 1 species